AUUGCUUCUCGGCCUUUUGGCUAAGAUCAAGUGUUCUUAUCAAUUUAAAAACUUGCUACCAAGCUACAGGUAACCAAAAAGUAUGGUAAUGGCAUAAGAACAGCUAUAUAGACCAUAGAAUAGAAUUGAGAACCCAGAAAUGAAUUUCCACAUUCACAACUUUGGCCAAUUAGUUUUUGACUAGAAUGCCAAGACCAU